rnacentral:lncRNA from 1 species
GCGGUUCCAGGCUGGGCCGGCGCAGGGGCAGAUCGCUGGGAUCUCACCUGGUGUCUGUGCAUGGGCUGGGACAGAGCCUUGAGAUGCUGGAACCAUUCAAACAUGAGCCUGGCAUUGUUCACUUGCUUUCCCCACAGGGUGAGGAGCUGGUGCCCCUGGACUGUGCCGCAGUCUCCAGGACAGCAGGGCCGGUCUGCAGGUGCCCUUCAGAACCCAGACAGUUGCUGAGGUUUCUCGCGUGCUGCAUGGAAUGAAGUGGGCACACAGCAGCUAUUGUGCAAGGAAUCUCUUGCUAAGUGGAAGAGGCUGAUGCUGCCAAGGCAAACUAAUGGACUGGUCACCUAGCGGAACAUGAUGGUGUCUCCCAAGGGG